rnacentral:lncRNA from 1 species
UCUUCCUUUCUGAGUUACUCGUUUUCACAGUUCAGCUCUUACAACAAGGAGAGAUAUUUUAACCAAGACAAUCAACGUAACAGCCACAGGAUAUUGAAAAAAAAGUCUUCUUCCAAAAUCAUCCAGUCUUCCCUCCUCUAUGAAUACUUGCAUCUUGUUUCUCCAUCAACAACAGAUGUUUGAAGAGAACCAGCAGCCAGUCCAAUCCCCUGUGAGAUCUCUGAAGCAUCAGCAAAAAGGAAAAAAGAAAUGACAUCAGAUGACCUCUAUGAGCUACUCAUUUCUGACUCUUGGCAUGAAACAAUGGAGAGUAGAGGCUCCACCUCAUCUUAUUCUAGACCUUUCUAGGGUGACUGUGUUUAAGUACCAGUUUCUUCCUCAGUCCUCAAGGGUAUAUCACAGCCCGAAGAAAAACCCAAACAGAAUAAACAUGGAAAAGCUGGUCGGAAGGUACUGUGGGUUUGGAGAGCGUUAACCAUCUCACCGUUAAUCACC